UUUUCUUUUUUUUUUGGUUCUUUCCACCAUCUUCAUUUCCUUAUUGCCUAACAGCAUCCACCAUUUAUAGUCUUUUUAUGGCUAAUGUGACUAGUCAAUUGCCUCCAAUCAAAACAUUUCUUCCUAUUUCCUUCUUUUCAACAGAAACAAACAAAAAUGUGUACAUGUGUGUGUGUGUGGAUGUAUGCAACCAAAAGGGCAAAAGAAACAAAUACAGUUCCAAUUGAAGUGAAAGUAUGGCUUCGAAAUUAUGCUGUGAAGUGUCAAGUGCAAAAAGUCUCUGUUGGGAGGAACAACGGGAAAAUAAUGCAACCAAGAAAAAAACAAUUGAUUGAAAAAGCAAAUCUAUAAGAGAGAGAGAGGCAAUAGAUGGCUCGGGGGUAAGGAAUGAGAGAGAUGGGGAGGAAGAGUAGGAGUGACUAGUUUGAAUCAUGAUUAUAGACCAUUCAAGCCGGCCUCAAGGGAUUGAGAACUUGAUAUAACGUAAAAUUAUUAGGGGAGUUGAGUGAUAUUAUCAAAAAAUUUUAGAAAAGAUUUCUAGAAUUUUUCUUUUCACUUAUGACACAGUUGACUAAUAUGAUUUUUGCGGAAUCUGAAUUAUUGCAAAUCUUUUAAAAGUUAGAGGUACUGUAGAAAUCAUAGAGAGAAAGAAAAUGCCAGAAAGAAACGUACAACAAAUUUUUCUUAAUUUGUGAGUAACCCUGAAAACAAUGCAACGAUUUGUAAUUUGUUACUUGAAAUAGACUAAUGCGGAUAGGAUAUCAUCUUUGUACAAGUGACUUAUUGUUAUUUGCAGUGUACAGUGGACACAUUUGUGGAGAAAUUAUCAUGCUGAAUAUACUUCCGGAAAAAGCUGAAAGGACUUUCUUGAUAUUAAGCCAAGAGAGGAAAAGGGAUAAGGCGUAGAUGCAAUGUUGUUGAAUCAAUUGAAGAAAAGCUAGGAUGAGAAAUUCUAUUUUUCUUAAAUUAAAGCACAAAUUUAUUUCAUCCUAAAUGUUAUAACUAAAGUUUGCUUCCUUACACCUAAACUGAAAGAGAACAUGCAGUACAAAAGAAAAGCUUAAUUAAAGUACUUUAAGCUUGCUCUUAUAAUGUGAUAUGAAGAAAAUACAAAAGAAAUUUCUUUUAUUUCUCCGCUUCUCUCUCCCCUCCUACUCUAUCUUUUGGCCCCUUGUCUUCUUCUUCUUUUUAGACCACUUCCUACUCUUAUGUUCUUGUACCAUGCACAUGUAUAGCACAGACAUCUAGUGUUAUAAACUUCUUCUACAUGCAUGAAAUGAAAUUGAAGUACUAAUCUUUUGUUAAAAAAUCAGUAGUUAAUUAAUUCUUCGACAAGUGGUGUAAACCGUUUAACAAACAAUCUAUCAGUGACUAAAGUCUAUAUUAGAAAUUUAGAACUUUAAAAAGAAUGAAAAAUAAAAAGUCCAUGUUAGAGCUUAUUCUCAUACCAUUAUCUAGAAGAAAAUUCGUUAAUUACUUGCGUGGAUUGCGAUAUUUUAUGAGGCCAUAACUCUAGCUGACUGUAUCAUCUAACCUCAACAUGAUCUGUAAUAUCUUCUAAAACAUGAUUAGUACUUACAUUAAUUAUUGGAUACACAUGUGCAACUGUGAUAAAGUGGAAGUAUAAACUAUGAAGCAGAAGAUUCAUUUUGUAUAUUGUAAACCGACAUCAAAACCUUUUAUGAACAAAUAUCUUUGAUUAGAAAAGAUUUAGCCCAAGAAACCUUCUAGCGAACUACUGCAUUUCUGCUUGUAACAGCAUAGCUUUUGCAUCUCGGGUAUGCAUAAAUGGGGGAAUCUGCUUCCUUGAAAUCACAGGGCAUGUCCUCAUCGAUCCUUCCAAUCCUUCCAAUCCCAACACUGUAACUCCUCUUCUCCGCUGCUUUAGCGGGCAGCUUCACGCUUGUAAUUGGCCUUUGCAACUGAGGAUCGAUGGUCUUGAUCCCAGCAUUGGCCUCACUCAGCUUUGUGGAUACGGCGCGAAUGAGUUCCCUGAGUUCAUCUUCCUGCUUGCUAUCCUUGGACGAGUUAACGCUGAAGUUUCGUGGUAGCUGUUGAGACACUUGAGGAGCAAUACCGCAGUUAACCACCGUGUUAUCACCAAUUCUUGCAGCACAAUCGAACAUGCUGUUCAUGUAGAAUUCUGUUAUUUUCUUCAGGACUCUGGCAGGUGCUUUUAGGAUAACCAUCAGCGUGCUUUGCUUCUUUGCUUUUGUCGUCGUCUUCAUUCUAUGAGUUGUUGAUUAAGAGGAGCUAACUGAAAAUUGGCAAGUAUUGAUGAUGAAGUUAAAAUGUUGAGUGAGGUGGGAAGGGCGGCAAAAUAUUGAAGGGGUAUAUAACAGAUGCAGAUUGCUUCGAGUGUUGAUUUCAUUUUGUAACUUGUACUGCCUUUAUGUUUGUAGCGUUAUUGACUCUUUCUAGUGUAGAACAGAUCCAAGGUCAAAUAUAUGGCUGUCCAUGCUCCAUACGCAUAAUUAACUUGAGGAGAAUUGCAAUUUUGGGCCUCUAUAUAGUGGAUAAUCACAAUUGGACCUUUUCAAACUUUAACUUUGAUAUAUUCAGACCAGACGUUAAUUAGUCUGCCAAGUUUAGGAUAUGAGAUUAUUUGAAAUAUUAUUUGGAAUAAUUACUGUAGCACUUUUUGUGAUGUGAUGUAUGUGAGAUAAAAAGAUAAUUGAAAAGAUAAAAAUGUGUGUUGGAAAUUAUAUUUGUAAUGUAAGCAAAUAAUUUUUAGCCAUUAUUUGGCUAUCCAAACACAUUACAUAUGGUUCCUCGUGUUCAGAUGAUUCUUAAAGUUGGGGGGGGGGGGGUCAUGAAUUUCUUCUUGAAUCGAAGUAUAGAAUUUUGAAAAUUUUAAAAAGCCUAAACUUGUCCACACCAGAAAUUCGAGGAGGCCAUCUAAAAGAAAUUUAGAAGUCCGGGGAUUGUGGCUUAUAUAUGUUGAAAUAGAAAUUUGAAGAAUAAAUUUGGCCGUGUAUCUUCUGUUUCACUCCCGGUGUCCCAUUUUUUAGUAUUGUUUUUCCUUGAUAAAUAUCUUAUUUUAGUUCUUUUUUGUUUUCUUAAAAUCUAAUAACUAUUAAUUGAUUAAAAAAUAAAUACAACAAUCUCAAAAAGUAAUAUAUUAUAAAAAUUAUAAAAUACAAUAGAAAAUUCAUUAAAAAAAUCUCAUUUUUAUGCAUUUUGAUUUUUUGAAUUUAUUAAAUUUUGUGAGUUGAUAGUUAUUGAAUUUUAAGAAAAUAAAGAAGAACUAAAAUUUGAUGUUUAUAAAGCAUAAAUAGCAAUAUAAUAAAAAGUGGGACAGAGAGUGACACAGAAAAUGAGACAGAAGAUCCUUCGUGAAUAAAUUUAUGGGUACGAAAAACAUAAGGAUGGAUGGUAACAUACUAACAUUGAAAAUCUUAAACAAGUCAAAGUAGGGAUUUUGUUGAAUUUAAAAAGGGUUCUAAACAAGCGCAAGAAAGAAAGCGUCAGUUUAGAUUGCGGAAUGGCUGGCCACACAGAUUUAAUUGUAGGGCGGCGCGGCCACCUUGAAUACAUCCCCGGAGUAAAUUAAACUUGGUCUGGUCGUGUCUACUAAUUAAUUGCGCGUCAUUAUUGGAAAUUGGAAUGAUUCCAAUGGACGCCCCUGAAUACUACUACGCUGGUCCUUUUCUUUGUAGAAUUUGGGAUCCUUUCUACUCCCUCCGUUCUACUUUGAUAGUACUGUUUCUUUUUUCAGACAGUUUAAGAAAAAGUGGUUAAUUUUGUUGGAAAAGUAAAAUUUAGAUUACUAUUUUCCUAAAAUACCCUCACAUUAAAUAUGGUAUAACUUUAUGAGAACUUGAAUUGAUGGUAAAAAAAGAAUCAACUCUCAUUAAACGGAGUAGGUUUAUAAUAACAACAACUUACAUUGAAUAAGGGUAUUUUAGAAAAAUUAAAAUACAACUACAUUCUUCAAUUGGAAAGUGGACUACAAUUUGGAACAGAUGAAAAAGGAAUACAGGGCUAUCAAAGUGGGACGGAGGGACUAUUUAUUAGUUUUUUUUAAAAAAAAUGUUAAGCAUACAACUUCACCAGCAAAUUUAUUGAACAUCGAAUCCGUUGGAUCCUCCCUUUGACUAAACUAAACAUCAAUUUUCUUUUCCUUGCAUGCACGAUUCACAGCCCCUUCUUUGCACGUGCUUCUCUGAAUCUUCCAUAUUUUCUGCUAUGUUUCAAUGGAAUAAUACGAAGGGUUAAUCACAUUUUAUCCCCUUAAAGAAUACCUCAUUUCUCAGUUUACCCUCUAACCUUUAAUUUUGCUCACUUAACCCCCUUUAGGACAAAAUUGCCCUUGCAUUAUUUUGACUUUUCAUUUACCUUGUUUUCCUUUCUUUUAUUUCUUUUUCUCUUUCUUCUUUAUUUAAUUCUUCCUCUUUCCCACAAAAACUUCACCUUAAUGAUUGAAAUUAAAAAAGAGGAAUUACAAAGAUCUAUCUUCUUCUUAAAUGAUCAAAAAAAUAUUCAAACCACUUUUCUAAAAUACAAUUUUUUUAGCCUUUCAAUUCUUUUAAUUUUGGGUUUUCCUCUUUCCUUUCUAGUUUCUCAUUUUAUUCUCAAGAAAAUAUCAUAAGAUGAAAUUGUUUUCCUUUCUUUUAUUUCUUUUUCUCUUUCUUCUCUCUAUCAUCCUUCCCAAUAGAAAAUUCGAUUUCCACAAAAAUUUUUGUUUUGAGUUUGCAAUCGCAUAUUUUUGGGCAAAGGUUUAAAAGACAUCAAAAACUAAUUUUGAUUUUUUGUAUGAUGCCACGUGUCACAAAUUUCAAUUGAUAAUUAUUAAUCAGGUCACAAUUUCAUCUUAAGAUAUUUUCUUGGGAAUAAAAUGAGAAACUAGAAAGGAAAGAGGAAAACCCAAAAUUAAAAGAAUUGAAAGGCUAAAAAAAAUUGUAUUUUAGGAAAGUGAUUUGAAUUUUUUUUAAUCAUUUAAGGAAAAGAUAGAUCUCUACAAUUCCUCUUUUUUAAUUUCAAUCAUUAAGGUGAAGAUUUUUAUGGGAAAGAGGAAGAAUUAAAUAAAGAAGAAAGAGAAAAAGAAAUAAAAAAAAGGAAAAUAAGGUAAAUGAAAAGUCAAAAUAAUGCAAGGGCAAUUUUGUCCUAAAGGGGGUUAAGUGAACAAAAUUAAAGGUUAGGGGGUAAACUGAGAAAUGGGGUAUUCUUUAAUGGGAUAAAAUGUGAUUAACCCUAAUAUGAAUAUCAUGACAGAUAAAUCAAGAUGUGAUCAACCGAGUUAGAAGUUCAUUAUUGCUUAAUAAUAAUUAAUUCCUUGCUGAAUUCUACAAAUACCUUUUCCCAAGGAUUUCGUGCAUUCUGCAUGUAUUUAUUGCAAUAAUAAGAUUUGGAUUGUAGAGUGUGUAAAAUUGAGAAAGCAUGAUGAGCUUUUAAAAAACAGGCUAAUGAAAAUAUAUCAAGGAUUGACUUUUUUAAAAACAAGUAUAUAAUUACAUUUUGAAUGUGUAAGUAACACCAAUUCUUAUGAUUUUUCUAUUUAAUAUCACAUAAUAAAAUUGUCAUACUUCAAUUCUUAUACUAGAAAAUGUCAAAUAAUAAUUAUUAACCAUAUUUAAUUACAGGCACUAAACUCCUGCGCGUUGCGCGGGCUUUUCCCCCUAGUAUAUAUAUAUAUAUAAUAGAUUAGAUGAUUUUAAAUGUAGCGAAUACUCGGUAGGCACUUGUUUUAAAAAUCUUGUGUUAGUAGUAUGAAUGGAUCUAUCAUAUAAAUCCAAAACGGUUUCUCUUGUAAAAAAAAAAAAAACGCUUCUAAAUAUACCUGGAAAAUUCAUAUAAAAGGUCUCUCUUGUCCGUUGAUGAUGUUGAACUGGUCUCGGUAGAGAAAUUAGGUUCUCAAUGUUGUCCGUAAGUUCAUGAAAAAUGUUCUCCAACUUCCUGGAAUCAGUUAAAGAGUGGUUAUAAAUAGUACGUUUCUUUCUUUUUUUUUUUGGUUUGAAUUUAAGAAGAAAAUAAUAGAGGAAAUGGACAAAGAUUUCAAACUUGAAAGGAUGAGAUAAUUUGGAAGUAGGUAAAAAUUAUUGCAGAUAGAAUGAUUGGAGAGUGUUUGGAGGGACGUGACGUUGUUAAUGUGAAUCAACUAAAUGGGCCGAACCAACCUAAACUAUGUAUGGCCCAAAAAUACUACUGUUUAAUUAAGUCUUUCUUACCAAUAAUAAUAAUAAUAAAUGCUGUUUAAUUAAGUCUAUUAUACAUAGGAAAGAGAAAAAGUUUGAUUAAAACAAUUACUCUCUCUCUCUCUCUCACACACACACACACAUAUAUUGUAAAUGGGCUGUGUCAAACAUGGUAGUCUAUUGGGCCAACCUCGUGUAAGGAACUCACCCUCGUAUAUUGCUAUUGUUAGGCGAGAAUUUUCUAUGCAAAGAAAAGGAAGAAAAAAAUAAGAGAGACUGAGUGAUCAUUUGUUCUGUACAUCGUGUCAUUUCAUUUUCAGCCCGAAAACGAAACUGCAAGGUAUAAUUUGCAGAAGCCCUUGAUCCAUUUCGGAUUUAAGUUCCCGGUAAUCACAAUCUUGAUCACAAAGAACAGUUCAGGCUGAGAGAUUGAUGUAUUCGAAUUUGCCUGAUGGAGUUUGAAAUUUGGAUAUAGAUUAUAAUAAAUAAAAUAAAAAAGUUAUUGCGUUUUCACAUGUAAAUAUCUUAAUGUCUACAUUUGUUGAAUUAGUGCCUACAUCGCAUGAUGCGGUUUUCACUGUUAAUUAUGGAAGUCCUUGAUCUAUUUCGGAUCCAAGUUCUCUGUCAUAGCAGUCUUGAUCGCAGAGAAGAAUUCAGGUCGAGAGAUUGACGUAUUUGAAUUUGGAUGAUCGGGAUUAAAUUUUGGGCACAAAGUUUAGUAAAUAAAAAAGUCAUUAUUGUGUUUUACAUGAUGUUGUUUUAAUACUCUUAUUUUAGCGUUUGUUUUUGUUGAGUCAAUGUUUGCACUGGCGCAGUUCGCAUUGGUAGUUGUAAAAAACCUUUGAUUCAAAGAUUCCUUGUGGAGAACGAAAGUUUCAGAAGUAUAUAGAGUUUGAAUUUUUAUUUUUUUUUUUUGGUUUUGUGAGAGUAGUUUGAAGUUCAAACUUUGAACAGGAUCAAUAUUUUCAAACUCAUUAUUGUCAAGUAAACAAAAUUUUUUGUCUUGACAAAAAAAUGCAAAAUCCAGAGGUAAGAAUUGUUUUAGCCUUACAAAUCAGUCUGUCGGAAUAUAUGCAAUAAAGGAACAUUAAUGCCCUUUAAUUUCACCAACUGCCGAAAACAGCGUUAUUAUUUUAUUACAGGCAUGGCGGGGUACAACAAUAAAAGCCUGCCCUGUUUGGAUUGUCAUUUUUUGUUGAAAAAUUGCGUCGUUUUUCGUAAUCACAUUUUUUUAUUAUUUUUUUUCUCACAUACAUCAAAUCGUUACAGUAAUUUUUCCAUGAAAAAUCAUAGAAAAUGCAAUCCAAACGGGGUCCAAAAAGUCCAAGUUCCUUGUUUCAGCUCAAUUAUCUGUUUUUUUUUUUUUUUUGGUCAAAGGUCAACUUCUAUAUAUGCUUCAGCUCAAUUAUCACUCACUUGAAAUCAAGAUUCCGGUCUCACUCUGCCGCUCAAAUAUUACUAGUCAAAUGUUUUUUUUUUCCUGUAGAGAAAGAAUUUAAGUCCAGGACUAUACGUGCUUUUUUGAAGGGGUACCAUAUGUGUUAAUGGCAUAAAUUCCGAAAUCAUUUAUUUUUGUCAUCUUCAUCCAAGUUGGGGAGGUUUGAGGUUUUGGGUGUAUUGCUUCCGUUUGUUUAAUGUUUUAGAUUAAAGGACAGAAACGAUCGCCAGAAAAUGUAAGAAGUAUUUAAUUAGUUGUUAGAUUAAAUUCAUAAUUUACCUUCAUUCAUCUUCCAACAACAGCUUAUUUAGCCCUGAGUUCAAUUUUCUCGAUUUUUUUUUUAAAAAAAAUUUUGUUACAAAAGAGAGAGACUUAUCCAUUCCUUACACUUGAGAUGACAAGUUCUCUAUUUUUCCUCUAAAAGGAGGAGGACUUAUCACUUUAAUUAUUUUAAUUUAGGUGUGGCCACGGUUCAAAUUUAAAUCAGAAUUAGACUGGAAUCAAGCUGGCAGUUUGUUAAACCCAAAUUGAAAUCAGAUUUUGAAACCAUAAUCAUGAUUAAAGGUUCAUAUUCAUAUUCUCCAAAAUUUUGAACUAAAAUCGUCUAAAAAAACACUUAUUACAUAAAUCUAUAUAAGCAAUUUAGAGUUUAAUAUCAAUAGUCGGUGCACAACACUAACAGUCUCAGUUCUAAUCCAACAAUCCAACAAUCCAUUAUCUCAUCUCAUUAGUAAGUCUAGGCACAUAACUAAUCUAAAUCCGAGACCAAUCCAAUUUGAUCAAUUGUGAGGUAUAUUUUCAUCAUUUUUUCUUUUUCCUUCGUAUGAUAAUGCAAAAAGUUUUUUUUUUUUUUUUGUUUUUUCCAUUCAUCGUCAUUUUUUCUUAGAAUCAAUUUUAUAACAAUUAAUAAUUGUUUAUACAUAACUAAAAUCAUUGGAAGUGAAACCAGAAGCAACCAAAAUAAAAUCGAACAAGAGCCAAAGGUUGAUAUAAUUCAGAAAACACCAAUUUUUUUUAGAAACUUUGUAACUAUAAAAGCCGAUUCAGGCUCCGCCUUUUAAAAGAAAGGAAAAUGUCGAUUUUUAAAUCCAAACCAACAAUUUUGAAAUUGCGACCAUAUAUACUUUAACUUAUCCAUUCCAUUGCAUUUUUAGCCGAAACUAUUUUUUAACUUAUCCAUAUCCAGUUUCUUUAUUUUUUUUUGACCAAAUUCCAAUUACUUUUUUGGAAAUGAAAAUAAAUUCACCCUAACUCGAGAAAAUUAUAUAUAUACUCCAAAAUUUCAUAACCUUUACGAUCAACUAAUUAUCCGUUCCCCAACACGCGCACACACGUAUACGUUUAAAAGUCCAUAGCUUUCCUAACAAAGACGGGAUUUAAUGCAUCCCAUCAGAUUCAAACCGAGACAAUAAUGUGCCUCAAUUAAGUGCUAAUAUGGAGCAUAUCGAUUGACUUUUGGUGAUCCUAAUCAGCAGCAUCGCACAGCAACUGGGUUGUAAUCACCUUUUUAGCCAUGAUAAAUCAAUUACAGAUUCAGAAUUUGACUAAACUCGAGAUUCACAAUUAAGGUGUAACCGCCCAUUCGAAAAAAAAAAAAUAUUAUGUAUGGAGAAAGACAAAUUCGGAAGUUUCAGACUGUAUGGAUUAUGGUAUGUGUUGAUGAUACAGAGAAUUACUAAAAGGGAAAUCAAGAAAAGCUGCAGAAAAAUUAGAGUGAUAUGCAUCGAAAAGACGAAAAUCAAGAAACGCUACGCUUUCCGGGGCGAUCGGCACCCUUGAGAGUCUUGUCGAUGAGUUGGCGAGCUUUUCUACUGCGGAUCUCCACUUUAACACUUGCACUCUUGUCCAUCUUUACGUAUGGCUUCUUUUUCUUCUUCAAAUUCAGUGCUUUCACCUUGGACUUUAUGGACUCCACCAAGUGCUCCAAUUGGUUAGCCAUUUCUGCACCUUAAACUACUAAAAGAAAGAAAGACCCUCUCUGUCUCUGUCUAUUCUUUUUUUUUUUUUUUUUACCUUACUGCUGCUGCUACUACUGCUACUGCUAGAGCUAUUGCAUUCUUGGUUUAUUGAUGAAGGAAAGGGAUGGGAUCAAUUUCGUUGUCACAUAGGAUUGAUCACUACAACGAGGCUGUUGCUGCGAUUGAUGUUCAAGUUGAUGAUCUUUUGCGUAUUUCAAGGAAAUAAAAAUGGCCCAAGAUUGAUUGUGAGAGAGAGAGGGGCUGGUGGGAUGGGAGAAUGGGAGAGAGCAGCAAAAUUUGUUUUAGUUGGAUUGGAAGACCAUUAGUAAGAAGGCGUCAGCUAUUUAUUAUGGUUCCGUCUCUGGCUGCUCCGCUUCUGGUGCCGUGCGAGGUUUUGGGUUCACAUUUACCGGGGGGCGUUCAAGAAAUUAGUUUGAGCGUGCUAAUUUUCAAAGAAACGCGAUUAUUCACGGGAGUUUUUUUUUUUCUGAUAAAACACAAAGCCAAUAUAUGAGUAAUUUAUUUAAUCUAUGAGUUUUUAGACGGGUGCCAAAAUACACCUUACAGAGUGAUGGCUCUCCAAAAGAAGUAAAAAAAAAAAAAAAAAUUGUAAAAAAAUGAGACCAAGACCAACAUUGAGGAUCGCACAACUAAGUCAAAACGCCUGCAAUUUUACCAUCCAUGCUAUGGCCAAGUUUGAUAAUUUUCGAUUUUCAUUCAUUUGUUUCCUUACAUGGAGGCGAGACAAGGUCCAUCAAACCCAGUUACUGCGAACAUUUUCAGCCACAAAACAUAUAAAUUUGUUCAAGCAUUUAGUCAGGUUUUCUCACUCAAAACCUGUUCAAGCUUUGAGCCCACAAACAGUCGAGAUAUGGGUCAUACUCAUACCGCCUUUAAUGUUGACUCCAAUAUAACCAUUUCUGUUAACAUAUGCAGUCAUCAUCAAAAUUUUCACUAAAAACUUUCAGAAACAUUUUAACCAUUUUUUUUUUAUUAGGACCAAAGGAUUUGAAUUACGUCUAUUGAAUGCAAAGCUUCAGCACAUAUCAGCCGUUACCGAUGAGUCAGCUCGUCGUACCUUCAAAACUCGGGAUGUUACUGUGAAUCUUUCAAAAUUUGACACUAGAAUUAAAUCUCUUGCCCCGACGAUAAGAAAAGGAAAAUGCGUCCAUUUUAUGUUUCAUCAUAAGUUGACAAACAAUUGGAUAUUAACACCUGGGAAGAUUCAAUGGCGCACUAAACAUUUGCCGACUUAUUCUGUGAGCAGCUUCAAAGUCGAAGCGAACAUAACUACAGCAAAACGAAAUAAGUGAAUCUCUAUACUACUUGUGUAUCCUUGGAGGCGGGAUACACGGACGAAGAGAGAUUAAUUUGAUAAAAUUGAGAUACUUCCGGUAUUUGAAGGAAAAAAAAAAAUGAAUCCGCCCCGGUUAAGCUUGUUCUUCUUAUUCCACUUGCAAUAUAGUGUGUGAUUUACGAAACCUGCCAACAACACAGUGAGUGUGUUUGAAUUGAGAUGAUUUGAGAUAAAAUAAUUUAUUUCACAAAUUCUAAUAAUUUUUUUAUCUUCACAGUUACUUUUUUUAUCUCGCAUACAUCACAUCACAAAAAGUACUACAGUAAUUAUCUCAAAUAAACUUCUAUCCAAACAAACUCAGUAUCUUUAUCAACAUUGACCUCUAUCCUUCUCUUUUUGCGUAUACAGGAUUAAACCAAGCGAUAUAUCUGUAACACGGGGCCUAAAUAUCGAAAGCAUUCAAUAAUAUUCCGGAAAAAAAAGGGAAAACAACAAGAAACAGACAAAAUAUGCUACAUCCGUAUAGCAACUUCUGACAUUGAGGCUCUGGUCGGCCUUGGCCUAUUAAGAGAGGCACCCAAAAUAGCAACUAGUCAAAAAUCAUACUGUAACUAGUCUUCCUUUUAUGCUUUACGGAUACGUAAAUUUCACUUUCCAAUGUAAUUCGUACAAGCACUAAGCAGGAUCGGAGCACAAAUAGGGAAUAAGCGUGAAUUUUACAGGGCAGGUAAAGAACCACCCAGGGCCAGGAAGGGUGGAUUACUGGAAAGAUACCGAUUUCAAGAACCACCCUGGGGUUUGUUUGGAUUGGAUUUUAUUUUUUCAAAUUUAUUUGCUUACAUCAUCAUUACAAUUUCUAAUACACCUUUUUACCUUCCCAAUUACCUUUUUAUCUCACAUAUAUCACAUCACAAAAAGUGUUACGGUAAAAAUAUCUCUAAUAAUUCACAAUCCAAACAGACACCCAGAAUCGGAUUGUUGUGUAGGCUUUGUAGACAUACAAAACUUUUAAGCCAGAUGCGAGGAAAGUCAGCCAGCCUAACACGACCAUUUACAAAACCAUGGGACAUCCUAGACAGACUGGCUCAUCAUGUCCUUUAUCACACGUACCAAGGAGGCCAUGACGACCUUAAAUCUUGCACUAAGAAGACACUCCCUUUUUCAUAUGGAACUUGAUUUUAUGUCAUUAAGACGUGCCUUUACCAAAUCAUGGGGAGGCCGCGGAUACGGCAUACUAAAUAACUAUGGAAAGUGAUGAUGAAUUCCCAUAAAGUCAAGAGUUACUCCAACCAACAGGUUUUUAUCCAAGCACAAUAAAAACGCUUAAAAAAUUAAAAGGAAAGAAACCUUUGAGCAAAAGCAACACGAUUUCUUUUUGCAAGGCCGAGAUGGCAAAGUUCUCCACGCUUAACCAUUAUAAAUAAGACGUACAAUUGCUGCAUGUAAACAGAAAUAUAUUAUUGUAGCCUACGGGAACAAGAGGUCAGACAGAGUUCAACAAAAUCGCAAUACAUACAUGCAUACAUACAAUAUGUCCACAUACCCACGCAUACAUAUUCUAUGGAUGUGUUAAGACAAGCCAAACCUGCCUCAGAUGCAGCAACACGAGAAACACCUCCGUUGACUUUACUGUUGCUAAUAUGACCAUUGGUUAGAUAGUCUGUAACUUAUUUUGAACCGUUAACCUAAGAAAUUACUCACAAAAUUCAAUUGACCGAGGUACCAAAAAAGCUAGAGUGAACAAUCCCCAUAGACUUGCUUAAUCGAAUCUUGUUUGAUUUACCAAAAAGAUCACAGCAACAAGGGAAGAAUUGCUUAAAAAUCAAUGGGCAGACUCUUAGAGAUUUUUUUUUUUUUGAGUUGGGGGGAGAGGGGUGGUUAGGUUUAAAAAUGCUUCUAAAUUUAGAUUGAAAGAGAUUUAGUGCUUCUGUUGCUCUACUGAAGAUCAUCCAGACGAUACACCAUUUCCUAGACCUACUGGAAGUCUGGAACAAACUGUAAAUGAGAAAUGUAAAAUCAAAAUCAAACACUCCAGUGAUCAGUCAAGAUUGCAGAUGAAAAGAGAAGUGUUUACCUAAAAAGCAACCAAAUGAAACGCUGAAGGAAACGGUACUCAGCUCAAAAGAAAGAACAAAAAUACUAGGAGGGGGGAGGGGGGGGGGACGCGGGGAACUCUUGCCUGAAAAUCUAGCUGAUUAUUUUAAUUUUCCGGAGAGGUCGACCAUAACAUUAAAGUUGACAAAAAAGCAAUAGUAGCAGUUUCAACACGUAGGCGAUGUGGACCAAGACCAACUGCAGUCGCACCAGCCUCGACAAUCAUUCUCAACUCUGUCUCAGUGAAGUCUGAAAUGGAGUAAGGUCAACAACAAAUGAGAUAUCCAGGAUGUUCAUCCUGAAGAAAGUACAACCAACAAUAACUGAAAUUCUUGAAACUAGGUAAUUUUCAAGCACACGAAAGAAGCAACGCAUCAAAUUGAUAAAGCUAAGACUAUUAAACUAAUGACAGGUCACUGAAUGGCCUUCUCAUAUGAACUUAAACACAAAAGCUUAGUGCCAAUUCCAUAUAUCUGAAUGGAUAAAAAUGACAAUCAUCAUGCAUGUAUGCACUAUUCAGCAAGAUAAUAAAACUAAUUCCACCACUGCUGUACUAGAUUAUGUCCCAUUACAUUACAAAGACUAUUGCUUCUUGUCAAAAGCAAAGAAGUGUAGGAAAACGAACACAAAGACCCAAAGUGAUGGCUAUCCCAGAGAUCCAUUCGCAGUUUAUGUUAUCUAAAGUGAUUGCUGUCCUAGUGAUCCACUUGCAGUUUAUAUUAUCUGAACAAGUAAAUGUUAACCAAUGCUACACCACAAGUAUCUGCCAUAAUAACUAGAUUGUGGACAGGAUACAGUUUUAGAAUCUAAUGCAAACACAUUUCAACAUUCCUAAUAAAUAUGUAAAAAACUAAACAAACAAGUUCAACUCCUGAUUACUGCAGUGUUUUCAACACUGGUGAAACUUUCACUCAUCACUUUGGCGUCAGAUAGGAAGACUAUCUAAAAUGUCUAAGUGAGCAAGGUUAUGUAAAAGAGUUGUUACAUAACACCGCCACUUUGCCAGUUUGGGGGGAUGGGGUUGGAGAUAAAACUAAAUUUUCUCAAAAAAACUUUCCCUGAGAGAGGGAGAGAGGCAUGUAAAGAGCACUGACCUCCUUCAGGUCCAAUUAUCAUUAGCCCAGUUGACUCUUUUCUUAAGGUACUCAAAGCACCAAAAACAGGAGUAGCCUCCGCAACAGCUACGAAUGAUAGUUUUGAUUGACGAACCUAAAGCAUGGUUUAAGAUAAGAUGUAAGUUCAGAAAGACCAUACUUACAAGGCUUAUGUGUCAAAAUUUGAGAGAUAAUAACAUCAUAACCAAAGCAUAGAUAAGUAUGGUUUAAAAGGAACAGAAAAAUUUGACUUACAAGGGGCAAAACUCCACCAAUCUUCACAGGAGAGUUCAAAGUCAUUUCAUGCAGCCUUUGACCUAUUUACCAGAGCACCAUUUUGGGAAAAACAAAAAUAUCAUGACAAAGAGACUGAUGAUAAUACUUCACACAAAUUAAGUUAAUGCCAUCUUAAGUUAGCCAACUACAUUCAAAGCGCAUGGUUAAACUACAAUGGUGGUACCAAAAAGGUUAUGGUGAAACGUCAAUUACAUUGUUUCGAUGCAGCAAGAAUAACACGUUCUAAUCUGUCAAAUCGGUUAUCUGAAAUGGAUGGAGAACGCUCAGUCAACAAAGGCGUCACACUGCUAGCUCCCAGUUCCUGAGACAUGACAAAGGAGAAUAAGCAUGUAAUUUUAAGCAACUUAAAUUGAUAGAGAGAUAUUACCCACAUGACUGAUCAUUGAUCUAGACAUACUGUGCAUUUCUCUACAAGCCAAUCAGCUCGACCUCCCUUUAAAGUUCCUAAAAUCCAAAGAAAGAUUAAAGCAAGUCACUUGACAUUAUGGCAGGAAUGAUUUCUCAUAGACACAGGUGCUUUAGGUGUUCUUAAGGACCCACCAAAAGCAGCAAAGACAUGCCAUUGUGGGGCCAGAGGAGAUACUAACUUUGCCUUCUCCGCUGCCACAAAAUCAACUCCUGUGCGAUCAAUAUUCUGUAUGUGUCCUUCAACAAGACCCCCUUUGCCAUCAAAGAGCUCUAUCCUUGAAAAUGAAUGAAAGGAAACCAGCAAUAUAUACAACAGGUCAGCCAACUUGCAAGAAAAAUAAUGAUCAAUUUAACUGUGAGCAUCACAAAAGCCACAGAGUAAGGUUUAACACUUCAACCGAUCGGCUUUGCUUAAAAUUCUAGAAAUAUUCCAGGCAAGGCUUAAACUCUAAUAUUUCUCCACAUAGUUAUGUUCCUACCAAUAAUAUUCAACUUUUCAACUCCUUCAGUCAAAUGAAAUUCUUAAACUGAUAAUAAGCAUACUCAAGAGGAAAACACAUUAUUGAUGUAAGACUUGCAAUUGGAUAAUGCAAACGAGGGAGCAAAGAAAUGUGGAAGAAAAGAUGAAACUUCAUGAGCUAUACAAGAUAAAAUGUAAGAAUAGCUAAAAUCCUGCAUCAUUAACAUGUUUCCUACUGGGUAUUUCUCAAAACUCAAUAAGAAUAAUGAUACAUACAACUUUUGGUACAUUUUUCUGCAACGGUUAAAUUGGAAAUGGAAGAAGCUGAAAUGAAAACAUCCUCGAGAUCAAAACCUCAAAGAAAGUAUAAAGCAAACCACGACUUUGUUGUACGAAUAACAGGGUAUCCAAUUACGCUUGGAAGAGUCAAGUAAAUAAAGCAGCUGACAUGAAACACAUUCGGCAUGUGGAAGUAAAUGCUAAACUCAAAAAAUUCACUCUCGUGAAGCAAAGAUUGAAUUCACGUAAGCACAAAGUUGACCAAGUAUUAGGCUGGUACGGAGAAUACCUGUCGUUGAUGUUUAAUCGGAGGACUUUUGUCAUAUGCCAGAACUCGUCGCCUUGAACACGGACAAUUCCACCCCUGGAAGCGGGGAGGGUUUCGGAGUAGAACCGGGGGAGACGGCCGCGAGACUGACUGGUGUAAUCGGAAGAAGAUGAAGAAGAGAAAGCUCGGGGUCGGAGAGAAAAGGUGAUUGCCUUUUGCCGGGAAGAUGGAGAUAGCUUCGCUAGUAGGUUUACCAGACAAGGUCUCCAAACUAGGGUUUGCAUUUAGGAAUUUGUCGGGAAUAUUAAACACACAGUUGCUUUAAUACGUCCGACGUUCUGGACUGUGAUUUUUGUGAGCUUGAUGAUGAUGACAAGAGCAAAUAAAUAAAUAUACUAGUACAGUAGGAGUAUAAAUUCGCCCAACAUUCGACUAUACCAUAGUUAAAUUUUACUGCUUAGGCUCAUAGGAUUUUAUGAUGGCUAUUAGUAGUAUCUCAACCACAGCAAAACAGAGUAUGGAUGUAGCGGAGCUACAAUUUUCUAGAUAUCAAAUUUGAAGUUUAAAAAGUCGGAAUUUGUAAAAUUUACAAACAUUUGUAAGAGUAGCGUAAAUUUUGCCAGAGCUUAGUUUGUUUGGACAAGAAAUCACAGCUUCGAAGACGAUCUAAAUCUGGAUUUCAUGGUCGGAUAUUAACAGACCAGACUAAUUACAUGGUACUACCUCAAAUUCAUUCCAUGGAUAAUUUUUUACAUUCAUUUGGUUGCCUAAACAGGAAAUUGCAUUUUAUGUCCAGAACUAGCAUGUCUGCCUAAUAAAAGAACAACCUCGUUCUGCUACUACAGCCGGUCGGUCAGUUCCGCAGGGUCGCAGCCAUUGUCAAAAGUCAGGAACACAAAAGGGACUUCCCAGUCUUCCCCAAAAUAUCAAAAUACACCUUUGCGACCUUAUCACAAACACCUAAUGGGACUUCCCAGCUUUCCACAAAAAUUCUUGUACAUCCCUUUGAGACGUUAUCACAAGCGCCUCGAAGACCAAACUAGCAGGACCCUUCAGGAUUUUCAUCAGCUCUACCAUCACCUUCAAACCCGCCACCCAUCUCACACACCCUCUCCCACAUGCUCUUCUCCACAGGCACCACCGACAACCUCGGCUGCCUGAACAGGCCACAUCCUUGCAGUCCACUCUCUUUCUUCAUUUCCCCCAAGUCCACCGGCCUCCGCAUUUCGCCAACCGCCUUCACAUCCACCGCACUAUCACCGCUAUCAUCAGCGUACCAUUCACGGACAACAGAGACCACACCCACCACGCGGCGGGCUUUGGAGCCGGAAUGGUAGAAAAAGCAGAGAUCUCCAGUUCUCAUGGACUUCAUAUUCUUCUGGGCUUGCUUGUUCUUGACGCCGUCCCAUUUGGAUACACCACCAUUGGCUGCUUGGUCCUCCCAUGACCACUCCCCUGGCUCCGUUUUUAGCAGCCAGUAUUGUUUUUCUUUACCCAUUUCUGUGCUGUGAAAACUUUGUAGAAUUUGAAUUUCUCAGGAUAGGGGCUGGGAAUUUUCAGGGUUGGAUUCAGGAAAAGGGUGAUUGGACCUAAAGCACUAGCUUUACUACUGGUAUUUGUUAUGGCGGGAAAUCGGCGACGGCCCCGCAUUUUGAUUGAUUGAUUGAUUCCUUCCGCUUCUUAAUUUUAAUACUCCCUGUUCACUUUGAGAGUCCUAUUCCUUUUUCUACACAAUUUAAGAAAAAAUCGUUAAAUUUGUUGAAAAAGUAAAUUUAAAUUACUAUUUUUCUAAAAUACCCUCACAUUAAAUAUGGUACAACUUUAUGGGAAUUUGAAUUGAUGGUAAAAAAAGAAUCAACUCUCAUUAAAUGGGAUAAGUUUAUAGUAACAACUACUUACAUCGAAUAAGGGUAUUUUAGGAAAAUUAAAAUACAACUACAUUCUUCAAUUGGAAAGUGGACUACAAUUUGGGACAGAUGAAAAAGGAAUACAGGACUAUCAAAGUGGGACGGAGAGAGUAGAUAAUAUAUAUAAUUGGUUGAAAUCGAUUAAGUUCUAAGCUUAGUUACCAAAAUUUGAUGAUAAUUAGAUUGAUUAGAUAUUUCAUACUUUAGUGCUGUAAAUCCAGAAAAUAUUUAAAUAAAGGAUUAAUCACACUUUGCUCCUCUGAACUUUGGGUGUAGUUACACUUUACUACCCUCAACUUUUAAAAUAUACACUUUACCCCAUAAAAAACUAGUCAAAGUUAGGAAUGCCAAAAAAAAGUGAGUGCAAAUUAUUGUCCUUUUAUUUUUGAGAUUAUAACUCAUUUUAUUGCUAAAAGAUAUACAUCUUCUCUGUAAUAUCUACUGUACAAAAAAAAAUAUCAAACUAAUAAAGCUAAAAAAAAGGUUUACAUUUAGUUUAUUAUUCUUAAUAUUUUUCCUAUUGGAUACUUUAAAUAUAACAAGGAUUAGGGGUGCAAACGAAUCGAAUCGAGCCGAACUUUGGCCUAGUCAAGUCGAGCCUCCAGUUAAUUUUGUGAAGUUCGAACUCGAGCUCAAAAUGUCAAGCUCGAGCUCGAGCUUGACUCAAAUUCGAGUCGAGCUCGAGCUUAAAAAAUAAAAAUAAUAAAAAUAAUUUUUUUUAAAAAAAAUAAAAAAUAAUUAUUUAUUUUUAACAAUGAAUAAAAUAAUAAUUUUUUAAUAAAUAAUAAAAUAUUAGGGAUAUAUGUGUAAUUUUACUAUUAAAAUAAAAAAAUAUAUAUAAUUGAACUCGCGAACCGCUUGCGAGCCAACGAGCUUAAUGUUUUUGAGCUCGAACUCGAGUUCGAAUUCGACUUAAUUAUCUCGAGCUCGAUAUUGACCGAGCUCGUACUCGAGCCGCUCGCGAUCGACUCGCAAGCGGGUCGAUUCGUGAACACCCCUAACAAGGAUAAAUAACUCAAUGAAAACAAUAAAUACAUUUAGCAAAAUUUUGGAAAAAAGGGUACUGUUAAACUUGUUAUUUUAUUAAUUUUUUAUUAUUUUAGCUUAUGUAAACUGUUACAAUAAUGUUAUCAUCAUUUAUUUUUUUAAACUAGUCGAAAAUUAAAUACUUAACCCAAUUAGUUAAAAAGGGCUGAUAUGCCUUAUUUUUAAAUUUAGAGGAGGCAAAAUAUAUAUUAAUGUUAUGCGUUCUCCUUUGGCUACUGUAUUUAUAAUUGCUUAGGAUAUUAUCAUGAACUCAGAGAUGUCUCAUUUGAGGCUGUCAUGCCUCAACCAAUUAUAGGAUGACAUCUGCACACGAUGAUUUGUCUACUAGGCAGAUUCUAGUUGUGGUUCAAAUACAUGGAAUAAUUCCCACCUCGUGUAGAAAAAUCGCAAAUAUAUCAAAAAAAUGAAGUGAAAACUGUGGUAUUUUCUCGUAUGCUAGGAGAGCAGGCAUCACACUCAUUGCAGAGAGUGCAAUCAGAGAUUCAGAAGUGUGAGGGGGGGAGGUUCUAAAUUUCUACUAGGGGUGGCAAUUUUCGACACGACACGAACCUAACACGAAAUUAAUGGAUUUGGGUUGAGGUUUCGGGAAUUCGGGUCAGAAUCGGGUUGGACCCGAUGAACCCGAAAAGAAAACAGGUCAAUUUCGGGUCAACCCGUGGUGACCUGAUAUGACCCGAUAUGACCCGUUUACGAAUUAAAAAUAAUUUAAUAAACAUAAAAAUAAUUUUAUCUAACUAAACUAAGUUAUUCUUUUUUUCAAAGGCAUUAAUUACUUAAUUCUAAAUGAAUUUAUUUAAUUUGUGUGAAGUUGAAAUUAUUAUAUUUGGACAAAUAAUAUAUUAUAUUAUUUUUUACUUUUAUACUGUUUUAAUUUAUUUUAUAUUUUGUUUGAGAUAAAACACUUUUACGGUGUUUAAUUUAUUUUAGAUUUGGUUUGGAAUUAUUUAUUUAAAUUUUUAUUACUUGAUUAUGUAAUUAGUUUUGUGAGAAAUUGAUUUUAUUAGAAAUUACAGUGAUAAAUUAAUAAAUUAAAAUUAAGUUUCGGGUCAUUUCGGGUCGACCCGCCAACCCGCCAACCUGAAAUUUUCGGGUUCGGGUCAGCAUACCUGACCCGUCACGGGUUGGCGGGUCGGGUUCGGGUCAACAGAUUUUCUGACGGGUUGACCCGAACCCGACCCGCCAACCUGAUUUAGACCCGAAUUGCCACCCCUAAUUUCUACUAGGAACUAAAUAUGAGGCCAAGAUCUUUUCUUUUCUAAUGGUCAUAAUUUUUAGGUCAGGAUUUGGCGUGACUCAGAUAUGCAGGUUAACCGUACAAGAUUAGAUGGCUGGCAAGGUCAAGUUGCCAUUACCUCACCAAUUUGAGCCAAGUAGACGAGUUGGAGCCCAUCUUCUUGCUACGGAUUUUUUUGAGAAAAAUGCAGUUUUGGUACCUAAACUAUGACGCAGGAGCGGUUUUAGUCCCCAAAUUUUGGACGAAAGCAAAUGUGGUACCCAAUCUUUCAAAUUUUGAGCACAUUAAGUACCUUUGACGAUUUUUUCUCAAAUUGCCAUUGGAAAAAGUCAUGUGACAGUCACAUGUCCGGCCACCAUUGUAUGAAAAAUAGCCAAAAAAAUGUCAAAUGCCAUUCUAAUACUAAAUAUUAAAUUUAAGGACUAAUAACGUAAUAAACAAAAAAUCCAAGGACCCAAGGACUAAAUAACAUCAUGAGUCAAUUAAAAAAUAAAAGAAGAAGACAACAUCACAUAGUGUCUGUUUCGUUCCUCUUGCUUCACUCUCAAAUAGAAAACCCAAUUACCAUCCGGGUUACUUUGGGAAAGUUGGUAUGAGGUACUUCCACAAGCUCUGUAACAAAUUCCAUUGCCUCAUUGUCAACAUCGAAAAGCUCUGGUCUUUGGUUCCUCAAGAAGCUAAGGACAAAACUACCAAGGACAACGCCCCUUUGAUUGAUAUCACCCAGUUCGGAUAUUUUAAGGUUAUGGGUAAGGGAGUUUUGCCUGAAAAUCAACCUGUUGUUGUUAAGGUCAAGCUGGUUUCCAAGACUGUUGAGAAGAAGAUUAAGGAAGCUGGUGGGGCUGUUGUUCUCACUGCUUAGGUUGUUUUGUUUCUUGGAUUUACUAAGUCUGAGGUUCUAUUAGUAGUAUUAUAAUUUGGCACUUUUUUGGAUUUACCCCUUUAAUUUUGUUGUUAUGAAAUGAAUGUUAUUGGACCAUUUUUAUGGAUGUUUUUAAUGUUAUUCAGCAGAUUAAUUUCUGCAUUAUGAAUGGAAAAAAAAGAAUUCUUUGGGAUUGAUGUACUGGAAUUGGAGCUCAUUUGUGACUUGAUUAUGUACUGGAAUUAGUCAAGUACAAGCCUUGUUCAAGCAUGGAUAUUACGUGAUUAUGCUAAACAAAAGACCAUGCCCUGUUUUAACAUGGUUUUAUACUAAGAGAAAACGCCGAACCCACUAGUUUUCCAGUGCACAGAAAAUGGCUGCCUGCUUUAAUUGUUUCGUGAGAUGAAGUUAUGUAAGCGUUGCUUCCAUCUGAACUUCUAACCAACUGAACAGAUUGCUGCAAUUUCACUUCUACAUUUUUGUUUUUCAACCAGCCUAAAGUCUUGUUGGAAGCUUUGGGUCCAAUAAACUCUAGCAACCUAGGUCUAUCAUGCACCAAAACAACCUUCUUUUCUGGAAAAUCAACAGCAAUUUUUGCAGCAAGUUCAACUCCAGUGAACUAAAAUCUUACAAACAAUUGCAGAGUCAAAACCACUACAAAAUAUAUGUCCAAUCCAACUGGUUAAUCCAACAAAAGAUGACUUUCCAGUAACACGGUGAUGUUCCAUAAGGUACCAAAUAUGAUGCAGUUGUACAAAAGCAUUGUUACAAGGGAUAAUGUUCAUUAAGGUAGAUUCACUUCACGCAGCCUCAAUUUCAUUAGCCAUUGGAAGAUCCCCCAGCAGAUUGACCACCAGUAAUAUUUGUUAUUGUACAAGACUUUGUAUCUCUUAUAUGAAAAUUGGGAACUUGGACUGGAUCAGGUUGACUCAUAUAUGGCAUCUGAGGCAAUGGAAUGUUGGACACUUAUGCAAGUUAAGUUCUGGAGUUGGAGCAGACGAAAUUAUAUCUUCAGUAGCUGCCAUGUUUUGUCGUUGAGAUCUCUGUGCCUUUCUUUUCCUCUGAUUUGGAAGCACAAUGUUUUCCUACAUCAACCAAAAGAGAUAUUUGUCACUUUAAAUAAAGUAAGAGAAAACCAGUGCCACAAGUAUAAGAAAUACUACAAGAGAGAGUACAGAAGUUCUUUUUGCUCCUUUUCUUGCAAUCGUCUUAGCAGGUCCACUACAUGUGUUUACCUGCACACAAAUUAUUAACUAACUUAAUAUGGAUAACAUAAUGAAUAUUAUAACUAAUGAAACUUAGUUUAAUUUUACUUACACAUUGAUUGUCUACCGUUGUAUCAGCACCAGUUUGAGAUGAGGCUUCAUUAAGAGAUAUUUCAAAUAGCUCAGUGCAAGAUCCUACUUGUUGGCUUGCACUUUGAGUAGCUUGAGUGCCUUCAAUUGCAGCAUUUUCAAGUUGCUCCUUCCGAAUAUUACAAGACCUUUUGUUAUGCCCUUUCUCACCACAGUAGUUACACUUAAUCACUUGCCCAACUCUAUUCAUUUUAUUCCCUUUCUCUUUUUUCUGUUGUAUUUCAUCUUCACCCUUUUUCCUCAGUUUUUUGGGCCUUCCUGGUGCUCUUCCAUAUGUUGGUGGAAGUGGAGGUGUAACAUGAGUAUGUGUCCAAUCAUGCUCCCCAUUGACAGGCAAAAUGCAAUUAGCAUAGCACUUGAGAUAGGCUUCAACACUAUAACAUUGAUCAAUAAAGUCCAUAGGGUCUUUACGAGCUAUCCAGAUUGCUGAAAUUGCAUGGCUGCAUGGAAUCCCGGUAAGAUCCCAUUUCCUACAAGUGCACAUUCUCUCUUUAAUAUUAACACAAUAUGUUUCUCCAUAAGGGCAGCCAACCUCAUAAUCAUCAUCAUUUGAUUUAAUAGGAAAACAUUGAGUAGCCAUAUCCAUGUUUUUCUUUACUCUUUUCAUGAUUCUUGGGCAGAAUUUCAAUUUCUUCCACUUGCUCUUAGCCAUAUCUCUGUUUUGCUGCAAUCUGGUCAUUACGUAGUGCCUCAAAGAUUCCAUCAGCCCCACAAUAUGCUCCUUUCUAGCAUGUAGAAUCUUGCUGUUAAAUGACUCACAUAUGUUGUUUAGCAACAUGUCACACUUGGAAAAGGUUCUAAAGUGUGAUCUAGUCCACUCAAUAGGCUGCUUUGUACCCAACCAUUUCGCAACCUCAAUGUCAAUUUCUGCCAAUUCCCUCAUCUUUGUACUGAAUUUUGCAAGUGUGGUUGCUUUAGCAGCUUUCCAUAGUGCACGUCUCAAAGUUGUUCCUUUAAAUCCAGCAACUGAAAAAUUACUGUGUAGAUGUUUAACACAAAAUCUAUGGUCACAAUUUGGAAACACUGCCUCACAUGCUUGUAUGAUGCCUUUUUGUUUGUCACUCAUUAUAGUCCAUUCAUAGUCUCUCUCCAUUUGAAGAUCCUCUCUCAACAAUGUUAGAAACCACAUCCACGAAUCUUUGGUUUCCCCCUCAGUUGCAGCAUAAGCAAUGGGAUAAAAUCCAUUGUUAGGAUCAACUCCCACAGCAGUUAGCAAUACCCCUCCUGCUGGACCCUUUAAGAAUGUCCCAUCUAAGCCAAAAAUAGGUCUACAAGCAGCUAGGAAUCCCUGUUUAACCCCAGCAAAACACAUGUACAAUCUUUGAAACUUUUGUUGUCUUGUGACCGCAUCACAAUACCCAUCUACUACUUUCAUAAUCACAGUAGUUCCAGGGUUACUCCUCUUUAUUUCAUUGAUAUAAUCAGGCAGUUUCUUAUAGUGAUCAGUCUCAUCCCCUUGCACAAUUUUUGUGGCAACUCUUUUUGCUCUAUAGCCUUGAUACUUGCUUAAAAAGCAUUUAUUUUCCUUCAUUAUCUUAUUUGUAAAGCUCUUAAGAUCUAGCUUCGGAUUUUCUCUAAUUGUCUCACAGUAAUUUUUUGCCACCCAACUUGAUCUUACACUUUCAUUAUGGUAAGAGAACCCACACUUGUGUUGCUUUUGAAAGGUUCUAACUUGCACACUGCCUUCCCCACUCAACUUUCUAGCAUAGAUGUACCAAUCACAACCUUCUCUAGGACACUUGGCCAUCACUUUAACUUUGUCAUGUUUAACAAACUUAAAUGGCCUUUCUCUCUUUAUAUUCCAGGUUCUGACCGCUUCCUUAAACUCCUUGAAAUUGCUAAAAUAUUGUUUAAGUUUAAUUUUAGGAUUAUGCAUGUCCUUGGGAUUAAACAUUGGUGGUUUCGUACAUUGUUCAUCACCACUUCCAUGUAGACUUUCAAAAUCAGAUUCAGAAUCUGGCGUAGCAUCUACAUCAGAGUUAUCAACAUCACUCUCAGAAUCACUUCCUAUAUCCCUCUGAGCUGCAGCAAUCAUUUUGCCUUUAGCAAUCAUUUUUCUUUCCUCUUCUACUUGAUUCUCAAUCCCCAACCAUUCUACAUUCUGAUCUACAUUAUCUUCAUAAUCAUCAUCAUCCUCUUCCUCCAUCUCAUAGUCCGAGUCCUUACCAGAAAAUUCCCCUGAGCUAGCAUCUGAAUUGCAACCAUUGUGUUCUUCAGAUUCACCAUUUAUACCUCCCUCUAAAACAUAAUCAUCAUCGUAAUCAUCCUCCUCAUAAUCAUACCCCAUUUGUAACCUCAAAAUUUCAGCAAAAGAAACCUCAAUGUAUAAGUCAACAUGCCUACCAUAAUCUAGAUAAUCUGCACAAUAAGCAUAUAAUUCCUUAUCAUGCCAAAGCCUGCGAAAUCCAUACUCUUCUACAAGAAUAUGGUACCUUUUAUCGCCGUAGACCCUUGCUUCAUUUUCAAGCAUUCUAUCCAUCUCAAACAGACUAAUCCCAGUCACUUCUACAUAAUCAAACACACAUAUUUCCCCUCCCUCAUAAUGUGCAUCAGGCCCAUUUAUACAUUUUCCCCAAAUAUAGCAUCUCAUGGUGAUUUUAGUGCUACCAUUUCCUAUAUUUCAAGAAGAAUAGUUCAAACAGUUAAACGAGAGCACAUAUCACUAUUAUGUAUGUAAGAAAAUUAAGACAUAUUGAUCAACAUUCAAAUUAAUACUAAGGGUUUAAUACUUCAACAAAACCACUUAUAAAAUGCCGAUUGCAAUGCAAAAAAAAUUUGAUAUUUUAACUACAACUAACAAAUAUUGAAACAUAAAAAUGGGAUAUACAGUAGAUUAUACUCUGGAUUAAAACUAUUUUUGUAAUUUCUAGGAGAAUCCAUUGUCCAUUUGCUUUAACAUUCCCAAAGAUUAGUUUUUUCAGAUGAUAAAUGAUAUUUUGUUACUUCUAAUUUCACCCUAAACUCAAUAUUGCUGUAAAAAUUAGAUGAGGUCAGUCGUAUUUACUUACCAUCAUUUGGGGGUGGCUCAUUAUUCAAUUCUUCGCUUCUGAUUGACAUAUCGGUUCACAAUUGUUUGAUGCUCCCCAGAAUCUGCCAAGUUUUUUCGAAUUUUUGGAGCCAACUUGAAUUUUUGUUGAAGUUCGGUUCUUGGGUUUUCUAUUUGAGAGCGAAGCAAGAGGAACGAAACAGAUACUAUGUGAUGUUGUCUUCUUCUUUUAUUUUUUAAUUGACUCAUGAUGUUAUUUAGUCCUUGGGUCCUUGGGUUUUUUGUUUAUUACGUUAUUAGUCCUUAAAUUUAAUAUUUAGUAUUAGAAUGGCAUUUGACAUUUUUUUGGCCCUUUUUUAUACAAUUGUGGCCGGACAUGUGACUGUCACAUGACUUUUUUUGGUAGCAAUUUGAGAAAAAAUCAUCAAAGGUACUUAAUGUGCUCAAAAUUUGAAAGAUCGGGUACCACAUUUGCUUUCGUCCAAAAUUUGGGGACUAAAACCGCUCCUGCAUCAUAGUUUAGGUACCAAAACUGCAUUUUUCUCGAUUUUUUUUCUAGUUCUUUCACUUUGACCUUCAACUUUGCGAUUCUCCUUUCUUGUCUUCUUACUUCUUCUUCAUACGCAUCUCUUUGCUGUUCAGCUACAUUAAUUCUUUUCAGAAGCCCAGGUAUGAUCUCCGUUGACCAGCUGCACAUCUCCUUGUCAAUCCAUUGCCAAAAUCUGCAGCCACCAUCCGCGCACACCGCAAAUCUCCGCCCAGGAUUUCUUGAGGUCCACGAAGUUAUCACCCUCGACAUUUUCUCACACCUGCACAAUGGGAAAGUCGGAUUGUUGGUUUCUCGCAUGCUUCUAGUUCAACAACUUCUUUGGCUGCAAUGGAGUUUUUCUUUGUUCAAGUUCGGGAAGAAGUCCCAUUUUAUCGAGUGGAACACAGCUCAUUAUGGACAAAAAUGCCCUUCGUAUUCGGCAUACAUCUCACGUGGUCGUAGAUUCCGUUGGUAUUAACUGCUGAAUUUGACAGAAGGUCUAACAUUUUAUACUUUGGAUAGAUCGGGAGCCAAAAGUUUACUUUUAAUUGUUUGGGAGGCAAAAGUUCAUCCGAGUAAUAGUUUGAGGGCCACUAAGACUUUUUGCCCUGUAAAGAAUUCAACCCCAAAUCUGACACCAGAAAAGAUUCUAACGGUCUUUUUUGAUCACUGGCCAACUCCAAGGAUUCUGAGAUACUUGUUUAAAGAUGUUAACCUGACUGACUAUAUUAUAUAUCUACAGCUGUACUUAUGCUUGGGGUAAAUUUUGCUUUUUUUUUUUUUUUGUUAAAAGAAAAAUGAUGGAGAAGAGACCACACAAUUGGCAGGUAAGAAUAAGGCAAUAAGCAGUAGGGUAGCUCACCUGUUGUUGGUAAAAUAGCAUGCCAAUGAAGGCUAUUUUACCAGGCAAAAGAAAACGUCGUUUACAGGCCCAUUGUUCAUAUCCGGAAUUUUACCAGGCACCCAAAAAAGGAAGAAAAAGGAAAAAGACUAAUUAGAAUGAGAAGAAAUUAUUUGAAUUACACCUGCUCACACAUUGACCUUUAUAUUAAAGUAAAUUCUAGUAUAUUGUAACUAAAAACUAUGCGGAUAUCAGGCAAAUGAAUGAAUGAUUGUGGGAUUAAAGUUUCGCCAUUAGAUUUCUUCACGUCUUGUUUAACCAAAAUAAUUGACAUAUGUAUAUGAUUACUUAGAACUGUAAUACGUUCACUGACCAGUCAAUUUCAAUCUCCAAGAAGAGUCUUCUGCUUCUUUUUUCCUUAUGGAUGAAGAUUUCUUCUACUUUUUUUCUAUCGAAAUUAAGAAGAGUCAUAGAGCCAAGAAUUUUUGCUAUUGGCGAAGCUUGUCUGCCCAUCAAUCCCCUGCCGCCAUUCGAUUCUGUUUCUAAUAAGAAGGGAAAAACGUUUCGCUGCUCAUUGACCUAAUCAGCUACUUGACCCUUUCAACCAAUUAAUAUUAUUGAUGACGAAUAGAUAGGCGAAAUCUGUGUCGAAGAUGAAUAGUUAUUAUUUCUUGGUCAGUGAGUCAUGUCGAUUUACUAUUUACUGAUAUAUGCUCUCUCACGAGAUCAUCUAUCUAUCUGGCUCACAUCUGCAAACCAAUGGCUGAUCGACUUGCAUGAACCGGCAAAUAUAAAGAACGACGCAAACGCAUGCUCUCUCGUUCAUCCAACCACAACCACGACCACGCUGAAUUCAAACUUCUAAGAGCCACCAGUCACAAACAUGGAAAUCAAAGUCAAAGAUGGCAAGAUCCUUGUAAUUAAUGCAACGUUAUGGGCCAAUAUUUUGCCCUUCUGUAGUAGCAUAACCAGCACAACAAACCAUGCAGUGAAUAUAAAUCCAUAUGCCCGGCCAGAGUCGUUAAGAUUUUUUUUUGGUGACCAUUUCUCGCCCGCCGGUUGUUGCCAAUUAAUAUAAAUUAAAUCCAUCCCCUUAAUGAUAACGUCAGCUCUUAGUCUUUAGAUAGCAAAAUAGCUGUCUCCUGGAGACCAAAUUUUUCUAGCAAAUGCUAGAAUUUUCAACUUUUGUAUCUCUAGAAAGUUCAAAGUUAUGAAGAAAGAAGAAAAGGUUUGUCCCUUUGCAAUUUGUCAGAGAUGUGUUAUAGCUGACUAUUAAAAUGGACAAUAUAACUUCGUGGUUGAAUGCUCGAAGUCAGAGUUCUGCGUCCCAUGAAUUUUCUUUCUGAUUAAAUGAAACAGGUUUAGGGUUGCUGUGCAAUAUGAGACUCCAGCUUAGUAGACGAAUUGGAUAAAUUUAUGAGGUCAGCCUUAGCACGAAAGAUCCGGUCCACUGAUGCCGGUCUGGAGCAUUAAAACAUAACCCCCCCAAGAAACAUGGAACAGCAACGCAUAACAGUUCAGUUCAGCUCAUUGAUUCCAACCAAAUACUAACUGCCAUCGGAGGAAAAAAAAAGAAAAAACGAAAGUGUUUUAAGAAGGCAGCAAGCUAGCUUGUCUUGUGAAGUUGUGAUGGCCAGGGAUCAUAAAGCAUGGCAUAGCGAGCCACACUACACACCAGGCAUAUUGGGUGCAUUAAUUUUGGUUGGGGCAAAGUGAGUGGAAGAACUAGCUGGAACGGCUAUCAUUUGGUUUCCUAGUAUGAUUUUGAGCCUCGUGAUCCAAAAUAAUUAGUGGAAGGAAAUGUCUUUACUUAGUAUCAUCACAUUAAAUGGUAAACUUUCAACUUUGGUCCGUUAGAUUUUAGUAAUAAAGUGCAUGCCAUGGCAAAGGACAAUGUGUAAUUAAAGUUGUAGUUGACGAAUAUAUUCUUGGCUUUAGGCGCUCUAAAUAUCUUGUUGCUGGGCUUUUGCGGUCCUGGCCAAUAAUCACCCGAGUUGGAAUUGGAUAAAACAUUAGUAUUAUUAUCAUGCCGACCGUAGAUCUACGAGAAACACGAGGUAUGCCGUCUUGAUUAGAUGCAGAGGUGUGCCCAUGUCAAAGAACAACAUAAAUCUGUUGAUGCAUCGAGUCCUGUAAAACGGAUAGGUGGCUUUGAUAUCCUAUACAGUCAAAUUAAUGAGCAAGUUUUGAAUUUGCACCAUGCAUCCCAAUCCGGCAAGUAAUCAAGACAAAUGUUUACCGGGUACCCAAGAUACAUUCGCAUUGAUCACAAACAACCGAGACUAUAUAUGAUGUGUAGAAGGAUCAUAUACAAUAUAUAUACGCACAAAUGCUCAUGCAUAAGACAUGAGAAAAAUGAGGGAGUAAGAACAAAGAUAUAUACUAUAUCGUCAGGGCUGCUUUUGCCCCUGCGUGUAUAUAUAGUCGAGAUGAGCCUCCAGUGUUCUUCUCAUCAAGCACUCAUCUUCUCCAAGUCCUUCGCAACUCUCCUCUUUAUCUACCUUCUCAACAUGAUCAUUCUACGUACAAGACCAAAGACACAGAUUAAUUACUAGCAUCAAAAUAUGUGUAUGAACCAGUACUCGAGCCAAAAUCAGAAACAAAUAAUAAUAAUAAUAAUAAUAAAGAUGACCAUCAGAUGAGUUGAUAUGCAUCAUACCACACGAUGACCAUGAUGAGUUUCCAUCGGAGUUACGUCCUGAAAUGUAGCCACCGGCCGGGCAACCGCGUAAGAUAGGGUAAGAAAAAGUAGAAGGGAUACGAUGCAAAGGGUGCUAACCUUGGACAUUUUUGUGAUACCUAGAUAGUGCCUAAUAUUCUAUAUAUCUAUCUUCUCCCAAGAAGGGUAGGCAAAGAUAUGAAGACUGUUGAGGGCAAUAUAUAUGUAUAUUUAUAGGGAGGGAGAGGAAAGAGGGGCUUGCUGGGGAGGAUGUGAGAUGGGUAGUAGUUUAUCCGGAUGCUGAAAGUAACCCGGACGGCCCUGAAUUUGUUUGACAAAUGCUAGAAAAAUGCUUGGCCUAUCUUUUUCAUGGUUGAAUAAUACGACUACUACAACUAUGAUGAAUAAUAUGAACUAUGAAGACCUCUAGAAGGUUCAUGAAUGGUGUAAUACUCUAUUGGAUGGAUUAGUCAAAAUGGAUGAAAUAUGUAUGUGAGCAAGGACUUGUUAUCUAGAAGAGACAUUUGGCCGAGUGUUUCAGGUUUCUGGGAUGUUGCCUUUUACACGGAAGUAUCCACAAGCAAUUGACUGCGGUUAAGUCGGAAGGUUCUAUCUGUAUGCUCCUUCUAAGCAGGGAUGCCACGUACCAUCACCAUGCCAUUUAAAAGUAAUCCUGCCCACAACUUAAUUUGGAAAAUUAGAUCAGCUUAAUUAGCAAUUUCUUUCCUAUUUUGGGCUUUCAUAUUUGUAGUACAAUCUCUCAUUUGCACAUUUUUUAAGUUGUGCGCUGUUUUCUUGAAAAGGUGAAAUGCACGUGGAAAUGGAAAACUUCAAGAAUAAAGAGCAGCGGAAUUAAUGGAAAGUGUACUAUUUCAUUCUAGCAUUCAUUAAGCUCCCUGAUUUGUUACUUUUGAAUUUUUUUUUAUCAGACUUUUGAAGUUAGUUAAUUAAACUUAAUCCCAAAUUUAACUCCAAAAGUCGACAACUCUUGAAACAAACUUGAUUUGUUACUUUUGAAUGGUACGAGAUAUCUUUGAAUUGGUUAGACUUGAGAGAAGAUCAAUAGAUUACGUACAAAUGAUUUAAUUUCAUGGAGAAAAUCUUCAAAACUCGGUGAAAAGCAGCAAUUAAUGCAAGGACAACAAUUAAAAAUGACAAAUACGGAUGCAUAAGUGCUAAAAACCAAUUAACAUGUUCAUGAUGAUGCCCAAUGUCCUUGAGGUGCAACAGCCCACAAUGAGCUACACAUAUGCCCGCACUGAUCAUGAUGAAGUCUAGCAUGCAUGCUCCUGCUCCUCAGAGAUUCUGAGAGUUGACCGGACCACGGGGAUCAUAACCCAUAAUGAUUCAGUUAAUUACUAGCACCGAGUGAUUAUUAUCUUGUAUUAAGGAAAGAUCCAAUUGCAUAAAAUGGCUAGUUCUAACAAUGCAAAAGUUGACCAUGAGCCAUACACACACACAUACAUACAUAAACACAUAUGGUGGGGUAGGUUUAAAAAUUAAAAGUUAGAAUGUUCGUUAGGAUGAUAAGUGAGCCAUAAAAGGUGAUGGAAACUUUUCUGUUUUGUCAGAAUUUCAACUUUAUAACUCCACGUUAAUCUUGUCACCACUAUGACUGUAUCUUUUCAACCUCCACCUGAUCAGUUUCUUGAGGUACGAACAGACAAUUCUAGACAAUUCUGCAAUUGUCCCAUCAAAAUGCCCUAACACACACACACACACACACACAAAACGUAGUUGAUCGAGGAGGAAACAUGCAACCUGCGGUGGAGGUUUGAAGGUUGAGUUCAAUCAUUAUUAAUGAGGUGCCGCCAUUUGAUUAUGGACUGCUAGAGAUUCUUGGUGGAACCAAUGGUUAUAAAACUUACAAUACAUGUUUUGUGGCCUCAAUCAUGCAACCUGUGAAGCCUUUUGCCGCGGUCGAUGGUUAUUGCUAUCGGCCGCUCGUACAAAUACCAUUAGUCUCAAUCAUCAUGCAUGCGGGUCUCUGCUUUUGCCCGGACGUUUGUGCUGACUAGUGACUACACACGCACAUACAUAUAUAUAUAUAUAUAUGUAUGUAUAUAUACAAAACAAAAACGAAAAAGAAAAAGGAGAUUGCAGAAGCAGAAAACACAAUCACAACAGUUACACAAGUCCUUUCACCACUUGUGAAAUGCAGUUUCAGGUUGUCGGAAAAAUUUGUUGACCGUACUCUGACUUGACAAAAGAAUAAAGAAAAAGAGUAACAGGAAGAACACUUCGAUUAGGAAAAUUUGGCUGGUGAUUUCAGCGGGCAUGCAUGGGCUUGCAUUUUGCGGAUAGAUACGUCUCUGCUGAACUUGUAAUAACACAGCCCCCGAUUCCAUUCAUUGGCCAUCUCUGAAUAGACAUUAAUCAUCUUAUAAAACUGGUAAUCUUUGUUAGCUCCACAGCCUAUCCAUACCCAAUGACCAACUUUUGUGAACAAAUUAUUUACCUCCUAAUUCUCCACGCACUACUUGGAAGUAAGGGUGGAUUUGGAGAGCCCUUUUUUAUUUUUUUUUAAUAACUGCAUUUUGAGUUUCACCUGUGUAUAAAACAAUUAUCGAUUUAGUUCAAAGCGGUAAGUUUGACAAGAAAUUAUCAGGCUGUAUCUUCCAUUGAACUGAAUUUAUUAGGUAGUGCAAGAUGCACAGAGAAAGUUCAAGAGACGAGGCAAAAGCCAUGCAACAAAACCCAAUGCUUAAACGGAGGCAUUAGAACCAGCUGUUAUAAGCAUAAAAAGGAGCAGAAAAAUAUAGAAUUUUGUGACACUGAUGAAAGUCAAUCUGCAGAAAAAAGCAUAAUGGAGCUAUUUCGAUCGCACUCUCAAUACUCAAGUGUUAUCAGGAUACAAUCGGUGAAUGCACGUUGCACAACCUAUACACCACUCGAAAACCUGUUUAUUAUGGAUGCUAGGAAUGAAGCCCUAAGGAUUCACUGGGUAAUAUUAAUCUGUCAAGCCUUAGAAAUAAGAAAUACCUAGUAGGGUCAGACUGAGAGCCACUGAGAGCCACAGCAGGUACAUAAUUCAAAAUUUUAGAUAGCAUCUCUAUGGUUAUUUGAUCUCAGAACAAUACGAUUACAGCUAACAAGAUGGCCAAAUUGCCAAGAAAGGAACCGAAAGCGCCAAGUUCAAAAUCUUUUUUCCUUCCAUAAAUAUCUCAAAAAACUCUAUGUUGCUUAUGACUCUACAAUACCAAAAGUCCACAUGACAAUUAAAAAGACUGGAGCAAAUCUAAUCUGAAGUACACUUACUGCAGCAGAACUCUAAGCAAAUUCAAUGCUAUUUACAAGAGACGAGCAAGAAUUAUAAAUUAUUACUCCAAAAAGCUACCGAACCUCCCCAUCCUCAUCAAUUUCUCCACCCCUGUACUCAUCA
rnacentral:lncRNA from 1 species